AUUGAACGCUGGCGGCAGGCCUAACACAUGCAAGUCGAGCGGAUGAAGGGAGCUUGCGCCUGGAUUCAGCGGCGGACGGGUGAGUAAUGCCUAGGAAUCUGCCUGGUAGUGGGGGAUAACGUCUGGAAACGGGCGCUAAUACCGCAUACGUCCUGAGGGAGAAAGAGGGGGAUCUUCGGACCUCACGCUAUCAGAUGAGCGUAGGUCGGAUUAGCUAGUUGGUGGGGUAAAGGCCUACCAAGGCGACGAUCCGUAACUGGUCUGAGAGGAUGAUCAGUCACACUGGAACUGGGCCACGGUCCAGACUCCUACGGGAGGCAGCAGUGGGGAAUGUUGGACAAUGGGCGAAAGCCUUAUCCAGCCAUGCCGCGUGUGUGAAGAAGGUCUUCGGAUUGUAAGGCACUUUAAGUUGGGAGGAACCGCAGUAAGUUGAUACCUUGCUGUUUUGACGUUACCAACAGAAUAAGCACCGGCUAACUUCGUG
rnacentral:rRNA from 1 species